CCUGCCCCUAGAGACGUUACAGGUAUGGCUGCCGUCCCGUGUGAGUCAGUAGUAGCAGAGGGGGAGAGGCUAUGUCCAUGCUCAGUGCUCUGACCUGUGAAUAUCUGAAUGAUUAGUAGCCUGAAGA